rnacentral:rRNA from 1 species
UACGGAGGGUGCGAGCGUUAAUCGGAAUUACUGGGCGUAAAGCGUGCGCAGGCGGUUGUGCAAGACCGAUGUGAAAUCCCCGGGCUUAACCUGGGAAUGGCAUUGGUGACUGCACGGCUAGAGUGUGUCAGAGGGGGGGUAGAAUUCCACGUGUAGCAGUGAAAUGCGUAGAGAUGUGGAGGAAUACCGAUGGCGAAGGCAGCCCCCUGGGAUAACACUGACGCUCAUGCACGAAAGCGUGGGGAGCAAACAGG